rnacentral:misc_RNA from 1 species
GAAAUGCGAUAAGUAGUGUGAAUUGCAGAAUUCAGUGAAUUAUUGAAUCUUUGAACGCACAUUGUGCUCUUUAGUAUUCCUUAGAGCAUGCCUGUUUGAGCGUUAUUUACACCCUCAAGCUCUGCUUAGUAUUGGGCAGCAGACUACCCUCCUCAGGAGUCGCGUCCCGCCUCAAAUACAUUAGCAGCCAGUUUAUUGGCUUUGAGCGCAGCAGAAACGCGUAACUCAGAUCUAGUAGGCUGGGUACUAGAAGGCUUAUUUUAAUGACUUUGACCUUAGAUCAGGUAGGGAUACCCGCUGAACUUAA